AGAUGAUCUGGGUACUAAAAUUGGAAUGAUAUAGAGAAGAUCCUGUGUCCAAGGAUAACAUGCAAAUUCCUGAAGCAUUCCAUAUUUUU
rnacentral:snRNA from 1 species